UACCAGCACCCCGAGUGGUCGGGACGUUUAUUGGCCUAAAGCAUCCGUAGCCGGUUCUACAAGUCUUCCGUUAAAUCCACCUGCUUAACAGAUGGGCUGCGGAAGAUACUAUGGAGCUAGGAGGCGGGAGAGGCAAGCGGUACUCGAUGGGUAGGGGUAAAAUCCGUUGAUCCAUUGAAGACCACCAGUGGCGAAGGCGGCUUGCCAGAACGCGCUCGACGGUGAGGGAUGAAAGCUGGGGGAGCAAACCGGG
rnacentral:rRNA from 1 species